UCAUUCCCUCUUGUUGACUUCUCUCUCACAAACUCAUAUUAAUACAUUCACUCUUAUCAUUUCGAGUUUCAUUCAUUCAUCAAAUCUUUUACUUCUUUUUUAUUCCUUCAUUUUCUUUUCUAUUCUCUCUGCAGCCUCAUCACUCUGUUUCUAAAACAUUGACAGCAACUGAUCAUUUUGCAGCGCCGAUCUCUCUUUGCGACUCAAAAUCCGGCAAAUUCAGAGCACUCAGUGCUCAGAGGACUUUCAGCUGAUCAUCAGUUUGCCCUGACGAUCUCUUGUUGCGACUCAAAAUUCAGCGAAUUCUGAACACUCGGUGCUCUGAGGAUCGAACUUUGUGAGUGUUCCUUUUUGUCUUCUUAUUCUUUUUUCACUGAGAUUCAAGUUAUGUCUUAGUUUCGGCGCAGAACAGUUAUCCAACUUUUUUUAAGACGAAUUUAUACCACUAGACGGCCUGUUUAGCAGCCUUUUUUAUUAGUCAUCCAUUUUUUCUCCUUUUUUUUUUUUUUUUAAGUUUGCUUGAAAUUUUUGUAAGAAGUAUAUAAACAGAAGAGAAAAUAUCGAAGUUGUGAUGGGUGAUGGGUGAUAGGUAUCCCUUCAUCCUUAGUCAGAAAUUUCACGUUCGAGUCUUAGGAAUAAAGUCUCUUCUAAUAGUGAGCUCUUUAGUCAAAGUGAGACUUCCUGGGUAAGCAGGGGCGAAGCUACCCCUUUGGGAGUGAGUUCGGCCGAAACCAGUAGCUUUGGUCCUAACUAUAUAUUUGUAUUAAUUUUUUUUGUCAAAUAUGUCCAAAUUAUUAAUUUGAAACCAGCAAUGUUGAAGAAUUAGAACCUCGAACCCACAAGCUUCAAAUCCAGGCUCCACCUUUGCUGGUAAAAUGUUGGAUUAGGUUGUGCUCCAAUGCGAGUACUCUCAAGUAAGGCACGUGCAAUGCAUGUGUCCAGAAACUACGAGGGAAUUAAAAGUUUUUAUGUAAAUGUUAUAUCCCGUAUUUUAUACGUUCGGAUAUUUCAAGGAAGUCGUGGCAAAGCUAAGGGAAUGACCAUCUUCCAAAAUUAUUUUAAUGUACAAGUGGUUAUGAAUAUUAUUUACGAACAUUACCAGUAUGGAAAUAUUGAGAAAGGUUAAGGGCAAAAAGGAAAAAUUCACAAAAUAGUUCAUGGUAAUAUUGUAAAAGGCUAGGGGCAAAAUAGUAAUCUUGCAAGAGUUCAAGAAAAGUCUUGAAAAGGCCAAAGCUUGCAUGGGAAGACAAAAGGGGCAUCCUUAUUAAUUUUCAAAAAAAAAAAAGAAGAAAACUCUAGAAAAUGGAGAAGGGGGGUUAAUUAUAAAUAAUAAUAAAAAUAAAUGGACUAAAGUUUAUAUAAGAAAGACAAUUAGUCUUCUUUGGCCAUUUUAGAAAAAUUCAAGAAAAAGAAGGAAAUUUCUAGAAAAAUUUAGAAAAUGGGCAUGUGCCCCUCACAUGAGUGCAAGAAUUAUAUAUGCAUAUAUAUGUGGGAGAAGUCAUCAUUUUAUUCAAGAGAAAGAAAGAACAAGAAAAACAAAAGAAAGAAGAAGAGAGGAGUAGAGAGGUUCGGCCAUGGCAAGGAAAAAAAAAAGGGGAGGCCAUGGAAGUUGAUCCAAAAAUAUUUUCUUGUGGUCUUCCAAGUGAUUGGAAGGUCCUCUUUAACAUGAGGCAAUUGUUGGGGCAAGAAGAACAUGUAUUCUUGCAAGUUACAAAUCAUGGCUAAGUGGAGGGUUGAAGGAAAAAGGUAUGAAUUCAUCCUCUUUUAUAUGUUAUGGAUAUUUGUGUAUGUUGUAGUAUGUGUAAAUGAAUGAAAAACAUGAAAACAUGUAUGUUGAAGUUGUGGCCGUGUGCUUGUGUAGUUGGCCGUGUGUAUGUGAUGUUGUGUAGGGGAGAAUGAAUUAAUUUUAUUUAGUAUCUUGGUUAUUGUUGUAAUGUAUAGGAAUGGAUGAAAAUUCAUAAAAAUAUGUUUGUAGUUGUGGUGGACGAAUGAGAAGGUGGUUUGGCAAGUUAUGAUGAAUUGAUUCUAUUUGAUAUUUUAGUUGUUGUUGUAGCGAACUCUAUGAUGUUGAUUGAAGAUUUGACGGUUUGGAAUGAAAUGGAAAUCGUUUGUGAAUUAUUGGAAAAGUUAGUGUGAUGUUAAUGUGGUUCUUAUACUUGUAAGAAUAAAUUUAUCAAUGUAUGGAUUGUUGAUGUAACUGAUAAAUUUGGAAGGAAAUAAUGCGUUGUUGACUUUGGUGGUGUUGUGAGAUUUCGGGUGGAGGUAUGCAUUAAUUGGGAUGAAUUGAAUUGAAUUGAAUUGAAUUGGAUUGGAUUGAAUUGGAUAGAAUUGAAUGUUGAAGUGUUGUUAGAAUAAUUGUUGGUAUUGUUGAUAGUUUGGCCGGGUUAAAUUCCCGGAUGGUUGUUGUUGAUUUGGGGCCGAGCCUUAUUCUCGGGAUUGGUACAUUUACAGGGGAGAUGCUGCCGAAAUUCCGGCAAAACAUAAGUAAACGUGUUUGAAAGAUUAAGACAAGUAGGUGACAACGAGUCUAACGAAUGGAUGAAUCCUUUUGGACGUAGAUUGACAAGUUGGAUGAACAAGUGUAACGAGUUGGUCGCGACUCAGGUACCCACAAGUGGAUAGACGAGAUUAGCUGAAGAUAAUCCAGUGGAUUGGCGGGCUCCAUUUCCUCCAGGAGUGCUGCCGAAUCAGAGUAUGUAUGCUGUGAUGUCUGAUCAGUAUUAGAGACUUUGCAGACAGCGUCGUGGGUAAUGAUAGUCAGUCUGUAAGUGGCUUCAUCAGCCGAUAUGUCAUUGUGUGUGUCUCAUAAUAAAUUUUGUAUCAUUACAGAUUUUGUUAAAUUCUGGAAAUAGGAAGCAGAAGAUUUCGAAAGCACAAUAUGAAUUUUAUUUGUAAGUGACUUUCAGAAUUCAAAAAAAUUUAGGUGUGUAAUCAGGGUCUGCGGGUUCGCUCGGCUCCGUAUGUGGGGUCGGGUGCCCAUCACACCCUAGUAAAGUCGGGGUGUGACAGUAAAUACUUUUUAUGUCGUGAGGAGAGUAGAAAUUAAAACUCAACCAGCCCACUAGGGGGCAGAUAUAUAGUAUUAGCUACGG